rnacentral:tRNA from 6 species
GUCAGGAUAGCUCAGCCGGUAGAGCAGAGGACUGAAAAUC